rnacentral:rRNA from 1 species
CUGAAACCGAAUGCCUACAAGCAGUUGGAGGGUCUUUAUGGCCUGACAGCGUACCUCUUGCAUAAUGGGUCUGUGACUUAAUGUUUCAAGCAAGCUUAAGCCGUUAGGUGUAGGCGCAGCGAAAGCGAGUCUGAAUAGGGCGUUUGAGUGGCACGGUCUAGACCCGAAGCGAAGUGAUCUACCCAUGGCCAGGUUGAAGCGUGUGUAAGAGCGCGUGGAGGACCGAACCCACUUCAGUUAAAAAUGGAGGGGAUGAGCUGUGGGUAGGGGUGAAAGGCCAAUCAAACUCGGAAAUAGCUGGUUCUCCGCGAAAUCUAUUUAGGUAGAGCGUCGACCGAAUACCCUCGGGGGUAGAGCACUGGAUGGGCU